rnacentral:lncRNA from 1 species
GGGGACCAGUAAAAGAUGUCUUGGCUCUGUGUAUGCCUAAAGAUGCAAAACCACAACACUUCUGAUCAUCUUUAACAGCUUCAUUGAAGAAAGGUUCUGAUUACUUCUCCACCCAUCAACUACCACUCGCCCACCUCUACCCUCAACCCUUGAGAAGUACCAUACAAUAGCCACAUCAGAAGCCAGGGAAUAAUAGUGGGCAGAAAGUUUUGCAAAUAUUAACUUUCUGAUCUAACAAACCCAUCUGUAUCUCCUUCUCCUAUAAACAUUCUGUUUGGCAGUACUGCUAAGAUCUAUUUCUCCUCUUUCAUUUUCUAAUUAACUUACAAUGUGUUUUCUCUAAAUUCACAAUGAGCUUGUAAUAAAAGUAAUUUGCUUCACCAGGUGGUAUUUCUCACAUUCCAGAUGUUAAUAUAGGUCUUAAACCAUGGUCAGCUUUAAGA